GAUGAACGCUGGCGGCGUGCCUAAUACAUGCAAGUCGAGCGAACAGACGAGGAGCUUGCUCCUCUGACGUUAGCGGCGGACGGGUGAGUAACACGUGGAUAACCUACCUAUAAGACUGGGAUAACUUCGGGACACCGGAGCUAAUACCGGAUAAUAUAUUGAACCGCAUGGUUCAAUAGUGAAAGACGGUUUUGCUGUAACUUAUAGAUGGAUCCGCGCCGCAUUAGCUAGUUGGUAAGGUAACGGCUUACCAAGGCAACGAUGCGUAGCCGACCUGAGAGGGUGAUCGGCCACACUGGACCUGAGACACGGUCCAGACUCCUACGGGAGGCAGCAGUAGGGAAUCUUCCGCAAUGGGCGAAAGCUUGACGGAGCAACGCCGCGUGAGUGAUGAAGGUCUUCGGAUCGUAAAACUCUGUUAUUAGGGAAGAACAAAUGUGUAAGUAACUAUGCACGUCUUGACGGUACCUAAUCAGAAAGCCACGGCUAACUACGUG
rnacentral:rRNA from 1 species